rnacentral:lncRNA from 1 species
UUGCGCCAAUCGGAGGACAAGCUAAAAUACCUUUUUGAGAGCCCCAGAAUGCAAGGUAACUAAAUAGUAGUUUGUUUCUUCAAGUGCAAAGGGGCCUACAUAGGUUUCUAGGAGAAAAUAAAAAAGCUUCAGGGUGAGGAUUGAAAAUCAAGACCGCUACAUUCUAUUUAUUUCACGAAGCAUUUUUGAUUGGUCAAAAUUGUUCAGUCAAGAUACAAAAGAUAUACAAUACAUACAGAUAACUAAGAAGAAUGUCUUGUUUACCAUCUUCCGUUGAAACCGUGUCUUCUGAUGACAAACGUCUUAUACAGAUACGACAUAACAGAACAUUCAGCUACAUUUACAACACUUUGUUUCGCAGUACAGAUUCGUGGAUUUUUCCUGCAUUGUUCGUUAUAGCUUCAGGAAGUCUAUGUCGGAUGUUGCUCAAUGGAAUCCAUAUGUACGUCAACUCAAAGACGUAAUAACUUUUCAUCUAAAUGACUUUGAACUUUGAAGAGGAGCUAGCGGUAAAAUGUAAAUAUGAAGCGCUUGGUUUUAAAAGCAGCUCAAUUAUUUUAAAAGAAAACAUAAAUAAUUAAAACUAGUUUUUGAAAAUCGCCAUUUUUUAAUGGAAUAUUAAACAAAAUUUAAACUCAAAAUAUUCUAUUUUCUAGAGAAAGUGCAAGUCAAUCGAAAAAAAAUUAUAUUUUUUACUAGACAUUAUUUAUUAUUAACUGCUUUUUGCAAUGAAUUCUACGUGGAGUUACAGAUUUUUAUAUAGAUUGCCAUAUCGAAAGGAUACAAACCAAUUUUUUGCUUUAAUUUUACUUAAUUUCUCUAAAAAUACUUUACGAAUUUUGCUUUUAACGUAUAACGAAACAGCGAAUACAAAUCAGAAAUACAAAAUAGGGAAUGUAAUCGAAUAAAGAUGUCUAAAAUGAUGUCCUUUACCCAUGCACUGGUCAUUCAGUUACAGAGCAGCCAAUAGGAAAGCGUUUUCUAUUUAUAUAGGAAUACGAAUAGUCUAAUGAGAAUAAUGCAAACAACUAGUUGUCAUUCACAACUACAAAAUGGCGACGUAUAAUUGAUUUGAUCCACUCAGUGAUACAGUUCAGCCUCUGUCUCGGAUUUCUCUACAACCAAUUUUUCAUAAUAACUUGAACAUAAUAACUGAACCCUAAAAUCAGCAAAAUAAUUUUGUUGUGUGUUAAAUCAUGAUCUUUCAAAAUACAAUUUUCUUUUUUCUCUCAAUUUACAAGAAAAUUUUUUUUCUUUUUCCGGCGACAACCAAAAAAAAAUUUGAAAAUGAAUUGAGCUGAUUUUAUAACCAAGCGUUUCAUAUGUGUUGUCAUAUGUGUUCAGCCUAUGUGUUCACCCUAUGUGUUGUCUGAGCACUACGUCGUAUUCAAAACUGCAAUACUAAGAAUAAAUUUAUUGUAAAAAAAUGGAAGUAACUGACUGAACGUUACUGCAAUGAUGCAUUUACUGAGUUUUUACAAUCUGAGUACUCCGGCUCUGACUGCGAUUACAAAUGUAAUCCAUUACUAUUUUUUUAAUAAUACAUGAUCUACGAUUAUACUUUGUGUAAUGCUACGCAAUUACUAACAGUUUUCUUUACUUUUAUUCGAUGUAUAGUUAGUAUAAUAAAGAUAUAUUUUGUAUUUACA